rnacentral:rRNA from 1 species
GUACGGGAGGCAGCAGUGGGGAAUCUUGCGCAAUGCGCGAAAGCGUGACGCAGCAACGCCGCGUGGGGGAAGACGGCCUUCGGGUUGUAAACCCCUUUCAGGAGGGACGAAGGUCAUACGGUUAAUAGCCGGCAUGAUUGACGGUACCUCCAGAAGAAGCCCCGGCUAACUACGUGCCAGCAGCCGCGGUAAUACGUAGGGGGCAAGCGUUGUCCGGAAUUAUUGGGCGUAAAGAGCGCGUAGGCGGUCCGAUAAGUCGGCUGUGAAAGUCAGGGGCUCAACCCUUGAAAGCCGGCCGAUACUGUCGGACUAGAGUCCGGAAGAGGCGAGUGGAAUUCCCGGUGUAGCGGUGAAAUGCGCAGAUAUCGGGAGGAACACCAAUGGCGAAGGCAGCUCGCUGGGACGGUACUGACGCUGAGGCGCGAAAGCGUGGGGAGCAAACAGGAUUAGAUACCCCUGUAGUCCG